GGGAUUCUUUCAUGAAUCUUUAAUGGUAGCAACAAACCAGUCUCUAUGGCACUGUUGAACCAGAGCCGAUGUCAUAUAUAUUUGGCCGCUGCCGCGAGUGGCGCUGUGGCGCACUUUUGCCAGUGAGACCCUGUCUGCUCAUCCCCCCGCCUUCACAGCGACGUAAAUGCAUACAUAUUUUUCAACUCUGGACAUUACGACCAAAUUAUAAGGUAAGUUAAGUUAUAUUAACAUGAAUUAACAGAGAAGCGACAUGUAAUGUUAUGUUAUCUGGGCUUUGUCUGACGUGUUUUAGUUUAAAUAUAAAAUAAAAUACGCUAUAAAGUGGUCCGUGUUUCCUACGUGUAUCGAGUCUAACGGUACUUUGGGAUGAAUUACAUUGUUAAUGUAAAGUUAAUUCAACUUAAGCCGCUUAAAGUUCAUGUGGUAGGAUUUCUGUGUGAGUUUAUUGUGUUUUUGUUGACUUGGUGAGGCGCAAUUACCGCGAGUUACUUGUGGCGAAAUCCUCCGUGCGCGUUUACAUUAAUGUAUAUUUAAAUAUAUAAAUUAACGCUAACUACCAUGUAAGAUUACCAUUAACUCCCGUAUUAUUUUCCAAUAAACCGGGGUUAGAUAUACUAACCCAUCACUGUUACAAAACACAGCGUGGGGACAAGUUAACAGCAGUUUACUUUUGGAUAAAAAAGUAUUAUGUAUAUUCAGCUGUGCCGUUGCCCAGACGGGGUUAAAUAUACAUAAUAGAUGCAGACACACACACACACACACACACUGCUAAACACCAGAACUGUUGAAACCACAUCCAUAACAUUCAUCUACUACUUAGUAAUUAUUUAUCUAAUAUAUCAUUCAGCCUUGGCUGAGCUCCCUUUGUUAGUUAAAAGGGUUUGACCCAUGGGGGAGGGGUAAUGGAAGUGUAAAUAGUUUCAACAAACACACAGCUCCAGACAUACAGGAACAAAGAUCAACAAUAUCUGAUCCAAAGUAAAAUAGCACUACAUAUAUCAUAGCACAAUGUGAAUGUGCAGACAGUUAAAGUCUGCUCUCUAUUAGACCCCACCUGUGAACAUCAUUAACUCACUGAUAUAUAUUUUCUUCUUGACAGAUAAAAUGCAAAAAUCUUUUGGCUAUCCCUCCAUGCAGCCCCUGCUCUUCCUGUAAAGAGACUUGUGCCCCUACCAAAGGAGCUGAUGUUUCUGAUGCCGGAACCAUCCGCCCCAACACCAACAGAGACCAACAUCACUGUUCCAGUGGCUCCUGAGAUUUCUGCAGAGCCCUGUCAACCGACACUGCAUCCACCAGCUGCACCAACACAAAGUCAGCCAUUACCCAGGCCAUCAACGGUCCCCAGCUGUUGUCCUCCUCCUCCUCCUCCUCCUCCU